CAAUGCGCAACAUGGAGCAGCUCCGGUGGAUCACAAGAAACAUGCGCAGAUAUUUUCCACACAGGGAUGGCAGAAUCGUGUCCAUAUGAAUGCCUCUCUGACUUGACGUAAGAGUCUUUGCAAAGGUUUCUGGCUGAUGGCGUGAAAUGUCGCAGAGCAAGUCUUCUGUGAUGCCACAAAGGCAUUGCCUGCAUGUCAAAUUGGCCACUUCCCUUGGACAGGCAGCCAAGGGAUAAAGACACAACAAUUGCAGACCAUCUUUAUCAAGCUAAAGCACAACAAUACAACAUCUUCCUGUGUUUUCCCAACCAAUACACCAUGCCAAGACCUGUAAAAAUCCAUAUAUUGCAUGCAUCAUGGCCAAUGUACAUCCCAAUGAGCCCAUCCAUCCAUUAAUGGCCUGGCCAUUGGAGAACACAGCUCC